AACGAACGCUGGCGGCAGGCUUAACACAUGCAAGGCGAACGCCCCGCAAGGGGAGGGGCAGACGGGGGAGGAACGAGGGGGAAGGGACGAAGACGGAAGGAAGAAGGCAGGGAAACGGGGGCGAAGACCGGAGACGCCCGACGGGGGAAAGAGGGAGCGGGGAUGGAUGAGCCCGCGUUGGAGGAGCUAGUUGGUGGGGUAAAGGCCUACCAAGGCGACGAUCGAUAGCUGGUCUGAGAGGAUGAUCCGUCACAUUGUGACUAAGACACGGUCCAAACUACUACGGGAGGCGGCAGUGGGGAAUAUUGGACAAUGGGCGCAAGCAUGAUCCAGCCCUGCCGCGUACGUGCUGAAGGCCUUAGGGUUGUAAAGCUCUUUCACCGGAGAAGAUAAUGACGGUACCCGGAGAAGAAGCCCCGGCUAACUUCGUG
rnacentral:rRNA from 1 species